CCCUCUGGGAUAAGAACAAGGGGAAUCUGUUCUCAAGAAGGUCCUGGUUGAGAGGCCACUGGUGGCGUUGAAAGGAAACCUGACAACACACUGGCACUAAUGAUCAGCUCCUUUCCCCAGUUCCCCUCAGAGUACAGAGGAGCAAGCAACGUGUUUUCCCUCAGUGUCCUGUCAGCUCCAGCCCGCCUCCAGUGACCUGGGCCUUAUAAGUAUCUUCUUAACGAGAGCAGCAAAACAUAGGUUCGAGAGCUCCUCACAACACGUUACAGCUCCUCAAGACGGACAAAUCAAGUGCAUCGUGUGACACACGGAUGGCCCAGUAACCUGGGAAGCCUGGCAGUCACUACGAUGACACACAAACCGAGCCAACUGGGGCACAGCAAGAUUCCAGAAACAUUAAUGGAUGGGAUCAGCUGUUUAGAGGAGGCCGCUGGAUAAAGGUCAACCAGAUUUAAGGUGAAGACAACUCUGUAAGCAAAGGGGAAGACAAAGGAGGUGGGACCAGCUUGCUCUGAGGUGAACACAGCC